AAAAAUAAUUGAGUUUCUUAGACCAGUGCUGGAUAAUGCUGGUCUUUCUCCAUUACUUUUGAAUACUCUCUGCAAUAUGUUAGAACCUGCUCUUACCCCCAGCUGUGUACCUGCACUCUUGGCAG